UAGUCUGACGUUGUGAAAUGACUUGGGAGGUGUAGAAUAAGUGGGAGGCUCUGCCGUCUGUGAAAUACCACUACUCUCAAUGUUGUUUUACUUAUACCAUGAUGUAGCAUCUGUGUGGCCUCGCGGUCGCUCAGUUCUAGUUGUAAACUUGGGCUUUUGCCUGGGUGAGCUACGUGGAAGACAUCGUCAGGUAAA
rnacentral:ncRNA from 1 species